CAGUCGCCACGGGAAUACGGAGGGUGCAAGCGUUAAUCGGAAUUACUGGGCGUAAAGCGCACGCAGGCGGUCUGUCAAGUCGGAUGUGAAAUCCCCGGGCUCAACCUGGGAACUGCAUUCGAAUCUGGCAGGCUAGAGUCUUGUAGAGGGGGGUAGAAUUCCAGGUGUAGCGGUGAAAUGCGUAGAGAUCUGGAGGAAUACCGGUGGCGAAGGCGGCCCCCUGGACAAAGACUGACGCUCAGGUGCGAAAGCGUGGGGAGCAAACAGGAUUAGAUACCCGCGUAGUCCCUGUCUCUUAUAC
rnacentral:rRNA from 1 species